rnacentral:rRNA from 1 species
UACGUAGGGUGCGAGCGUUAAUCGGAAUUACUGGGCGUAAAGUGUGCGCAGGUGGCCGCGCAAGUCGAGUGUGAAAUCCCCGAGCUUAACUUGGGAAUUGCGCUCGAAACUACGUGGCUCGAGUGUGGCAGAGGGGGGUGGAAUUCCACGUGUAGCAGUGAAAUGCGUAGAGAUGUGGAGGAACACCGAUGGCGAAGGCAGCCCCCCUGGGCUAACACUGACGCUCAUGCACGAAAGCGUGGGGAGCAAACAGG